UGGAGAUAAGGGAAGAGGCGAGAGUGGUGAUGGAGUUGGUGGGAAGGGUUUCAUAUAUAAUAAAAUAGAAAAAGUAGAAGAGAAGACGACGAAAGUUCUUGGAGUGUCAUCCUUCAAAGUGAUGGAGUUGGUGGGAAAGAAACACGAAACCAAUCAAGGUAGAGAGAGAUGCUAGCUUCGUGUAAGAGGCGAGGAAAUUUCAAAUUGGUUUAAGGUGAUUUAGGUGAGAAACUGAAAUAAGAGAGAAAGAUGUUUUUGUUGACGUUUGUUAGUCAGAUUGGAUUUGAUUCAACUCAUCAAAGCACAUGCUUGCCAAUUCUUUUUUCUUCUUUAAUUUAUGGGUCCCUCACCACUCUUCUUCUUUCUUUUCUGUCAAAGUUGCAGAUCUCACUGUUUAUCACCUUCGUCUAGCACACACCCAUUCCUCCUUUGAAUGUAAAGCUCAAAUCUCUCCGAGCCUCUCUCCACCACAGACAUCAUACCCCGUCCAACAACAUUUAUUUAUUAUUUUAAAUUAUGUUUUGUUUUGUUUCAAAAUUUUUGUAAUUAGUUAAAUACGAUUUUAAAAGUCUUCUUUUAAAAAGAUAUAUAUUAUUAACAUUUUUAUUAAAUGGUUGGUGGAGAAAUAAGACACAAUGAAAAUAUCAGUACUCUUCUUUUUUCUUCUUUAGUUUAUGGGUAUAUUGCAUUACCUCUCAGGUUGGCUGAAAUUACAAUCUUAUACAACAUUUUUAAAACAAUGAGAAAAUCAUAGCAACAUGCCUUUAACUUGAACCGGUCCAUCAACUAAAAAUUCAUGUUCAUUGGUUCAUUAACACAUCAAAAAGUUAAUUAUGGUCUUUUUUUGUCAACUUCGGGAUUCCGUUAAGAUGGGUCAUGCUGGAAGAACUAUUGAUACAAUUGGGUAAAAAUUAAGGGACCAUUUCUCCAAUUGAAUUAAAAUUGAGGGGCGAUUAAUUUCUACAAUUUUUCUCAUUAUUUUUUCAUAUUCUCCCUUAAUUCAACCUCUGAAACUCAGAAACACAUGGUAUUCCCAUGGAAAAAUUGCAGGAAGCCAUUUGGCUGCUCAACGCAAAUCGGCAGUGGUUCGAGCAAUCAGCUCUAAGCACAGAAGACUGGAAGUUAUUUGCCAAGUAUUUCAAACUCCAAACUGAUGGAUUACUAUUGAAUAACUAAAAUGAUGAAAGGAAAAGAUGUUUGGAUGUUAAUUGAUGAAAAGAAUAUGAUAAGUGGAAAAGAAGACGACGAAAGUAGUUGGAGCGUCAUCUUUGAAAGUGAUGGAGUUGGUGGAAAGGGCAUCAUAUAUAAUUUCUAGGAAAGACUGACGAUGUUAUGUUCUACCAUUCUUUGCUUUGUUUAAUUGAAUAGUUUGAUUUUAA